GUCGAGCGGUAACAGAUCUAGCUUGCUAGAUGCUGACGAGCGGCGGACGGGUGAGUAACGCGUAGGAAACUGCCGAGUAGUGGGGGGUAGCCCAGAGAAAUUUGGAUUAAUACCGCAUACGCCCUACGGGGGAAAGGAGGGGAUCUUCGGACCUUUCGCUAUUCGAUGUGCCUGCGUGAGAUUAGCUUGUUGGUGAGGUAAAGGCUCACCAAGGCGACGAUCUCUAGCUGGUUUGAGAGGAUGAUCAGCCACACUGGGACUGAGACACGGCCCAGACUCCUACGGGAGGCAGCAGUGGGGAAUAUUGCACAAUGGGGGAAACCCUGAUGCAGCCAUGCCGCGUGUGUGAAGAAGGCCUUCGGGUUGUAAAGCACUUUCAGCAGUGAGGAAAGGUUGUAAGUUAAUACCUUGCAGCUAUGACGUUAACUGCAGAAGAAGGACCGGCUAACUCCGUGCCAGCAGCCGCGGUAAUACGGAGGGUCCGAGCGUUAAUCGGAAUUACUGGGCGUAAAGCGCGCGUAGGCGGCUAGGUCAGUCAGAUGUGAAAGCCCCGGGCUUAACCUGGGAAUUGCAUCUGAUACUGCUUGGCUAGAGUACAGAAGAGGGUGGUGGAAUUUCCUGUGU
rnacentral:rRNA from 1 species